AAGAUGCCAGAAAAGAAAGGGAGAUUAUUAGAGCUGGACUUCUUACUUCUUUAAUUUUCGGUGAUUUCUUUGAUCUGGCUCUUCAUCUACUACAAAGACAUCCAAAUUUAGUAUUGAUGGAGGAUGCAAACCGGGCUACAGCCUUGGGUGCACUAUCAAUGAAGCCUUCUGCAUUCCCAAGUUCAUUCCCUAUAGCAAAGUCAGGUGGGUUUGGUAUCCUGUCAUAUCAGCUCGAGAAGACCAUAUACUCAUUCUUUGAUGUCCAUGAUGAACGCAUUAAUCCUUG